AUUGAACGCUGGCGGCAUGCCUUACACAUGCAAGUCGAACGGCAGCGCGGGAGCAAUCCUGGCGGCGAGUGGCGAACGGGUGAGUAAUGCAUCGGAACGUGCCUGGUAGUGGGGGAUAACUGCUCGAAAGAGCAGCUAAUACCGCAUACGACCUGAGGGUGAAAGGGGGGGAUCGCAAGACCUCUCGCUACCCGAGCGGCCGAUGUCGGAUUAGCUAGUUGGUGGGGUAAAGGCCCACCAAGGCAACGAUCCGUAGCUGGUCUGAGAGGACGACCAGCCACACUGGGACUGAGAUACGGGCCAGACUCCUACGGGAGGCAGCAGUAGGGAAUAUUGGUCAAUGGGUGAGAGCCUGAACCAGCCAUGCCGCGUGCAGGAAGAAAGCCUUCUGGGUUGUAAACUGCUUUUGCCAAGGGAUAAAAUACCCAUGCGUGGGGAAUUGAAGGUACUUGGUGAAUAAGCCACGGCUAACUACGUGCCAGCCGCCGCUGUAA
rnacentral:rRNA from 1 species